GCGGUGGUUAUGGAUCAUGUGACCUCCAGCUACAUGACUCCUGAACCAUAAUUCUAAUCUUGUAGCCAAUUUGUUAGUUUUACAAAAGUGGAUUUGGUCCCAGAGCAAGGAGGGGGAUGGUCGCAGAGAUCCAGAACGUAGAGGGUCAGAUGCAGGAGCAGGUUUGCCCUGAGCCCAUUUUCAGGUUCUUCAGAGAAAACAAGGUGGAGAUUGCAAGUGCAAUAACAAGGCCAUUUCCUUUCCUUAUGGGCCUCCGAGACCGCUCCUUCAUCUCCGAGCAGAUGUAUGAACAUUUUCAAGAAGCUUUUAGAAACCUGGUCCCAGUGACAAGAGUGAUGUAUUGUGUACUCAGUGAACUGGAGAAGACAUUUGGCUGGUCACAUCUGGAAGCAUUGUUCAGCAGGAUUAACCUGAUGGCCUAUCCUGAUUUAAACGAGAUUUACAGAAGCUUCCAAAAUGAAAAUUUAUCAUCCAGUGUAGUCCUUUGUCAACUUGUUUCUCCAAACAAAGACUGGAGAAGUCACAAAGAGAGCCUAGCACAUACUGGUACACUGAGGAGGAGCUGCAUGUGAAAGCUAUGAAGACAGAAAAGGGGGUUGGUGGGGGCCUUUCCGAACCAUGUGGUU
rnacentral:sRNA from 1 species